rnacentral:rRNA from 1 species
GGCGCACGGUGGAUGCCUUGACACUAGGAGUCGAUGAAGGACGGGACUAACACCGAUAUGCUUCGGGGAGCUGUAAGUAAGCUUUGAUCCGAAGAUUUCCGAAUGGGGAAACCCACCAUACGUAAUGGUAUGGUAUCCUUAUCUGAAUACAUAGGGUAAGGAAGACAGACCCAGGGAACUGAAACAUCUAAGUACCUGGAGGAAGAGAAAGCAAAUGCGAUUUCCUGAGUAGCGGCGAGCGAAACGGAACAGAGCCCAAACCAAGAGGCUUGCCUCUUGGGGUUGUAGGACACUCUAUACGGAGUUACAAAGGAACGAGGUAGACGAAGCGACCUGGAAAGGUCCGUCGUAGAGGGUAACAACCCCGUAGUCGAAACUUCGUUCUCUCCUGAGUGGAUCCUGAGUACGGCGGAACACGUGAAAUUCCGUCGGAAUCCGGGAGGACCAUCUCCCAAGGCUAAAUACUCCCUAGUGACCGAUAGUGAACCAGUACCGUGAGGGAAAGGUGAAAAGCACCCCGGAAGGGGAGUGAAAGAGAUCCUGAAACCGUGUGCCUACAAAUAGUCAGAGCCCGUUAACGGGUGAUGGCGUGCCUUUUGUAGAAUGAACCGGCGAGUUACGAUCCCGUGCGAGGUUAAGCUGAAGAAGGCGGAGCCGCAGCGAAAGCGAGUCUGAAUAGGGCGUUUAGUACGUGGUCGUAGACCCGAAACCAGGUGAUCUACCCAUGUCCAGGGUGAAGUUCAGGUAACACUGAAUGGAGGCCCGAACCCACGCACGUUGAAAAGUGCGGGGAUGAGGUGUGGGUAGCGGAGAAAUUCCAAUCGAACCUGGAGAUAGCUGGUUCUCCCCGAAAUAGCUUUAGGGCUAGCCUCGUGAUGAGAAUACUGGAGGUAGAGCACUGUUUGGACUAGGGGGCCAUCCCGGUUUACCGAAUUCAGACAAACUCCGAAUGCCAGAUAUUUAUACACGGGAGUCAGACUGCGAGUGAUAAGAUCCGUAGUCAAAAGGGAAACAGCCCAGACCACCAGCUAAGGUCCCAAAGUAAUCGUUAAGUGGAAAAGGAUGUGGCGUUGCACAGACAACCAGGAUGUUGGCUUAGAAGCAGCCAUCAUUUAAAGAGUGCGUAAUAGCUCACUGGUCGAGUGACGCUGCGCCGAAAAUGUAUCGGGGCUAAACGAUUCACCGAAGCUGUGGAUUGACAUCUACGAUGUCAGUGGUAGGAGAGCGUUCUAAGUGCGUUGAAGUCAGACCGGAAGGACUGGUGGAGCGCUUAGAAGUGAGAAUGCCGGUAUGAGUAGCGAAAGACGGGUGAGAAUCCCGUCCACCGUAUGACUAAGGUUUCCUGAGGAAGGCUCGUCCGCUCAGGGUUAGUCGGGACCUAAGCCGAGGCCGAUAGGCGUAGGCGAUGGACAACAGGUUGAUAUUCCUGUACCACCUCCUCACCGUUUGAGAAAUGGGGGGACGCAGUAGGAUAGGGUAAGCGCGCCGUUGGUUGUGCGCGUCCAAGCAGUAAGGCGUGUGUGUAGGCAAAUCCGCACACUGUAACGUUGAGCUGUGAUGGCGAGUCCGUAUGGACGAAGUUCCUGAUUUCACACUGCCAAGAAAAGCCUCUAUCGAGGUGAGAGGUGCCCGUACCGCAAACCGACACAGGUAGUCGAGGAGAGAAUCCUAAGGUGUGCGAGAGAACUCUCGUUAAGGAACUCGGCAAAAUGACCCCGUAACUUCGGGAGAAGGGGUGCUCUUGAGCGUGCAAGCGCAUGAGAGCCGCAGUGAAUAGGCCCAGGCGACUGUUUAGCAAAAACACAGGUCUCUGCAAAUAGGACAA